AUUCAUCUUCAGGGGCAGGGUGUAAUUCCCGACCGGUGGUAAAGUCCACGAGCGAUUAAAAUUGCUGAACUGGUUCGAUUCCAGUACCGACAGUAAAGUCUGGAUAAAGAAGAUGGAG
rnacentral:ncRNA from 2 species